rnacentral:rRNA from 1 species
CAGCAGCCGCGGGAAUACGGAGGGCGCGAGCGUUACCCGGAUUUACUGGGCGUAAAGGGCGUGUAGGCGGCCUGGGGCGUCCCAUGUGAAAGGCCACGGCUCAACCGUGGAGGAGCGUGGGAUACGCUCAGGCUAGAGGGUGGGAGAGGGUAGUGGAAUUCCCGGAGUAGCGGUGAAAUGCGCAGAUACCGGGAGGAACGCCGAUGGCGAAAGCAGCCACCUGGUCCACUUCUGACGCUGAGGCGCGAAAGCGUGGGGAGCAAACCGGAUUAGAGACCCCUGUAGUCCUGUCUCUUAUACA